AAGUCGUAACAAGGUUCCCGUAGGUGAACCUGCGGAAGGAUCAUUACAGAGUUUUGCCCUAGCGGGUAGAUCUCCCACCCUUGAAUAUAUACCUUUGUUGCUUUGGCGGGCCGCGCUCAGCGCUACUGGCUUGUCUAGUACGUGCCCGCCAGAGGACCACAACUCUUGUUUUUAGUGAUGUCUGAGUACUAUAUAAUAGUUAAAA
rnacentral:misc_RNA from 1 species